CACAGCAACUUGCUCUCCUGGCUGGCUUCCCGCACCACCUGCAGCGCCACCCCGCGGCCGCCCGUGGCCUGGUGUGACCUCUGCAAGGCCAAAAUCAGCACAGAUAACUAAAAGGCAGCUGUCUACAGAAGAGAAUUAAUAAUGGUGUCUGCUGAGGGAGGAUACACUGAUGCCAAAUCAGACCCUCAAAGAUCUUCUAAACCUAUGCUUCCCCUAUCAGAUCUUACUAUUACUGCUGUUAAUGAUAAUAAUUAAAGCUCAUUCUUGCAUAAUG
rnacentral:lncRNA from 10 species